rnacentral:tRNA from 1 species
AAAAAAUUAGUUAAAAAAUAACAUAAGUAUGUCAAACUUAAAUUAUUAUCUAAAUAUAAUAUUUUUUU